UUGGGCACCUGCACACAUGUGAUAUACACACAUAAACAUGGAUAAAAAUGAAAAAUCUUAAAAGAAUUAUGAAACUGUGGAGAGGAGGGGGUGGGGGAGGCGGUUCUCUGUGUAGCCCUAGCUGUCCUGGAACUCACAGUGUACACCAGGCUGGCCUCCUGUAUAUGGCUGUGGUAAGUGGCCAGUACUAUUGUGACAUGCCUGGAGUAAAGAUAGGACUUUUAACCUGUCAUAGAGUUGAAAGUAGAAACUGGGAAAUUUGGAUUUUUGGAUUCUAUCUCUUAACAAAUAAGCAUUUUUUUUGCUACAGCCUCAGCUUACAAUGUAGCCCAAGCUGGCCCUUGGAUGUGUGGCAGUCGUACCUCUACCUCCUGAGCACUGAGAUUAUAGUGUCCUGCUGUGUGGCCUAGUCUGGCCAA
rnacentral:lncRNA from 1 species